AUCACAAAGGGCAAACUUGACUAUGCUGUGUCCUACUAAAGCACCUGUCCUCAGGACCUGUCCUGCAUGAAGGAUCAAGCCCAUCCUAGCGCCCCCUAUGUUCCCCACAAACAUACCCUCUUGCUCCCUCUCCCUAGAACACACCAGAACACACCAUGAACAUGCUCCAGAUGGGAAAUUAUUCCUCAAUUAGAAGCAAGAAUUUAGCCAAGUCACUCCUUGGCAAGAAGCCUGCACUCAGAGCCAGGAGUAGAGCAAAAAGGUUCUUGAGUCUUCAAAUUAUGUGAGCUGUGACCCAGAGCUACCCCACUGAGCUGUAAGCUCAGGUAUGCCUCAGAGCUGUGCAAUUGGCUGUAACACUGAGAUGUACCACUUGGCUAUAACUGAGCUGCUCUGCUCUGCUGCAACACAAGAAGAUGCACUGUUACGUAUGUGACCAAGACAGAGUUACACACAAUUUUCUUAGCAGGGCUUGAUAUCAGACCUGUACCCUGCCUCAGGUAUAUUUACCAUAUAUAGACAUACUGUGUCUGUCCAGAUAAUCUGAAAAUUAUUUCCCAGAAACUAGGUAUUUGCCACAAAUAACUCACAUUGUUCAUUAGUGAGUGGGGAGAUCAUUUCUUUCAUCCCUAACUCACACUGAAAGCUUAACUGGAAAGGAAGCCCCCUGGGCUCACAAAGCCACCAUCACAGGCUGUGGAUGAAGUCUGGAAGUGCAGCUCCUUUCUCAGUGUUCUGCCAUAGAUGAGUGUCUGAGUGCAAUGUCAUUGCUUUCAUUAUGCCCCUGCAAAGGCACAAGCCUUCUCCAAGCUCACAGAAGACCCUAGCAAUAAUAAGGGAAUUAUCAGUUUUGAAUAAGCCAUCUUCAAUUUUUUUGGCAUCUUCAGAGUUUUGACAUACUUGAGAGAUGGAAAGAUGCUUACAAAGCUCAUGGAGGAUUCU
rnacentral:lncRNA from 1 species